rnacentral:rRNA from 1 species
GUGGGGAAUAUUGGGCAAUGGGCGAAAGCCUGACCCAGCAACGCCGCGUGAAGGAAGAAGGUCAUCGGAUCGUAAACUUCUAUCCUUGGUGAAGAUAAUGACGGUAGCCGAGAAGGAAGCCCCGGCUAACUACGUGCCAGCAGCCGCGGUAAUACGUAGGGGGCAAGCGUUGUCCGGAAUGAUUGGGCGUAAAGGGCGCGUAGGCGGCCUGGUAAGUCUGGAGUGAAAGUCCUGCUUUUAAGGUGGGAAUUGCUUUGGAUACUGUCGGGCUUGAGUGCAGGAGAGGUAAGUGGAAUUCCCGGUGUAGCGGUGAAAUGCGUAGAGAUCGGGAGGAACACCAGUGGCGAAGGCGACUUACUGGACUGUAACUGACGCUGAGGCGCGAAAGUGUGGGGAGCAAACAGGAUUAGAUACCCUGGUAGUCC